rnacentral:lncRNA from 1 species
UGAGGAUUCAAGCUUACUUGUCAAGACACUUGAAGUUGCUUCCCCAAGUUGGUGAGUCCUCAAGUCCGAGAACAAGACCUUAUGAUCUAGCUUCUAUGUUUAGUUCUUUGCUUAUGUUGAAAGACAUUGUUGUACUUUCCUAUUUCAAGACUUCUUAUUGAUGUAAGGGCUAAGUCCCAUUUUCGAUACUUCUAUGUCUAGAUGGUACAUUGUGACGAAGUUAGAUUCUAUUUUUCAU